GAUGGAAGUGAAUAUGGAGAAAGAGUCGAGAGCCUCAAUGAUGAAGCAAGCUCUGGUUUUAUAGAAGUGGAGUAGCUUGUAUCUGAGGUAAAUGAGAAUUUGAUGUUGUUCUGAUGAUGUUGCCCGGAACUGGGAGCGACGCUUCCUGGAACAUUGAGACUAAGACUGAAGUCUGAAGUGUAACGAGGAGCCUUAUGCUGCAGCAUGGUAGACAUUGCAGGGAUGUAUCGGAUGCAUGGAAUUGUCACGGUUUUUUUGAGUUCUAGCGUGAGCAUUGUUAUGAUGCACCUCUCUUCCUUGUAAAAGUCAUGAUGCAUAUAACUUAUCCCUUAUGGAAAUUGUCUUGAAUUCCGUUGGCAAUAUCUUGGUUUAGGCUUUAGUGAAGUAGGUUGACUUUGGUCCAAAUGUGGAAAUCCUUUUUUGUGUAAAUUAUUUUUGGUGGUGUAAUGAUAAUUGAAGUUGGUUUCUAAAGUGGACUUUGAAAUGUAAUUUGUCAGAACUUAGGUGACACUGAAGUUUGACAUAGUACUAUAGCUUGUGUAUUUGUAGUUUGACUUUUUGUAAUGGAUAUUGAAUGGUGUAAUGGAGACAUUUGGUAAUCGAACUCGUAA